rnacentral:lncRNA from 1 species
UUUCCUUGAGCCUGAACUACUUGCCCAUUGCCAAGUUUCACCUUGGUGUUAACUGAUUCAUCCAGCUUGCUAAACAUGCUCUCCUCCUUGGCUAUGUGACUGGUACAACCACUAUCAAUGUACCAUGUUUGUUGAUUGGCAUCUCUUGUGACUUGAGAAGCCAUGAACAUGUUUUCAGCCUCAUCCUUCUCCUCAGCAGUAAGUCUCCCGUCCAUCGCCAAUUGUGUGUCCAAAAAAUUGACACAAACGAACUACUUACUAUGGAAAAAUAAGAUAAUUUCUUUGAUUGAAUUACCGGUGUUAACAUGUUAGCAUCAGAUUCUAUUACGAGUUGGCCUGCAGCUCCUUUUGUCUAUUCCGACAACUUGGGAUACUUAUAUAGGUAUAGGCUACGUAAACCUUGUCCUCUUCUGAUUCAACCUCCUACUGCUCUUAGAUUAAGGCUACCGUAAAUCUCAAGCCUGAACCUUAUUGGAGCCUCUUCGUGCCUUACUUGUCUAUCCUGCUUCCUCUUUUCAUUCAAUAUCCCCUGCAAAUCCUUAUCCUGGCAUCUAUCUAAGAUAGGUAAAUGCCUUACAAUUUAUUUCUUCGAGAACAAGCCCUGUUCACUCAACCAUAGGCGCUGGCAUUCCUGUUCUUGCAGCUACUUCUGGGCACGUGGGUAUCUUUGAUCCAGUUUAGGCAGCUUUCAGUCCUGGGAAAGCUCUAUCGAAACUUGUUUCAAGAAGGAAGGUGUGAGAUUGAGUUGUAACAUCAGGCCCAACCCUUCACUUUUGCCUACGUUUCUCUUCCUUAUCUAAGUUAGAUAGCCUGCCAGCAUAAGCCCGAUAGUUUGUCCCUCUACCCUCGUACUAGCUCAUGAUCGAGAAUUCUUAUUCGUGAGCAAGUUAGAGCGAGACCUUAGUGGCUGGAAUACCAUACCAUAGGAUUUGAACUCUUGUCUCUGCCUAAAGCCUAAAAUAGGAGGAUUUCUCUGGCCACAUUGACCAGAAAAUCUAUAAAAUAUGUUGAAUUAGCCCCGUGAAUGACUAAUUCGUCCCGCACCACCUGAAGAAAUUCUAGGGAUGCCUCAUCUAGCAAUGAAAACUCUAAGAUCUCUAAUAAAUUGACAUGAGGACAAGGAGGUAUGUAUACAUUUGCCCGUGGUUCAAGUGAUUAUCCAUUUGAAUUAUGGCUUGGUUGAGUGAGUUUCGCUUGUCCCCGAAUCCCUCCUAAAGAUAGAGCUUGAUGGGGAGAAUCAUGCUUACCACAUUCAUCUGAGGUUGUAGCGAGCUCUGCGCAAGUGA